CCCUUAGAUGUUCUGGGCCGCACGCGCGCUACAAUGAUGAAUUCAACGAGUUUAUAACCUUGGUUGAAAAGCCUGGGUAAUCUUUUGAACUUUCGUCGUGAUGGGGCUAGACCCUUGCAAUUAUUGGUCUCCAACGAGGAAUUCCUAGUAAACGCAAGUCAUCAGCUUGCAUUGAUUACGUCCCUGCCCUUUGUACACACCGCCCGUCGCACCUACCGAUUGAAUGGUCCGGUGAAAUCUUCGGAUUGAGACUUUGAUUUCUUCACGGAAAACGCUGUUUUAAAAAGUUGAUUAAACCUUACCAUCUAGAGGAAGGUGAAGUCGUAACA
rnacentral:rRNA from 1 species